AUUGAACGCUGGCGGCAUGCCUUACACAUGCAAGUCGAACGGCAGCACGGGAGCAAUCCUGGUGGCGAGUGGCGAACGGGUGAGUAAUGCAUCGGAACGUGCCAUUGAGUGGGGGAUAACGUAGCGAAAGUUGCGCUAAUACCGCAUAUUCUGUGAGCAGGAAAGCAGGGGACCGCAAGGCCUUGCGCUCUUUGAGCGGCCGAUGUCAGAUUAGCUAGUUGGUGAGGUAACGGCUUACCAAGGCGACGAUCUGUAGCGGGUCUGAGAGGAUGAUCCGCCACACUGGAACUGAGACACGGUCCAGACUCCUACGGGAGGCAGCAGUGGGGAAUUUUGGACAAUGGGCGCAAGCCUGAUCCAGCCAUGCCGCGUGAGUGAAGAA
rnacentral:rRNA from 1 species